rnacentral:misc_RNA from 1 species
UUAAGUUCAGCGGGUAGUCCUACCUGAUUUGAGGUCAAGUUGGUCAAAAUAAAUGUGUGUUCAAGAAGCGGUCCAAUCUGUUUCAUGCAGCAUACCAAAAGGCAUAGAUAAUUUAUCACACCUAGUAGUCUCCUCUGCUCCAGAUACCACUAAUGCAUUUCAGGGGAGCACACCUCAAAAGAAAGGCCUGCAAAAAAUAA